CAGGGUUGUUAAAUAUUUCCUACUAUAGUCGCAUGUAUGUAGAAAAAACAAAAGCAUAGAUGAAAGUUACAUGACAUUACGUAUCUAUGAUUCUAUGCGCAUGCGACUAUUUGUCAAACGGUACUCGUUAUUAAAAACGAUUCCCGUUUUAGUUAAGAAUGAAACGAUAGCAAAAUUUAAUAAUACGUAUGUAUUAUUAAAUCGAAUGUAAUAUAUGAUGUGGUGCAGUUAAGCUAGUGAUGUAUUAUUACUACCGUCGUCGAUGAUAUGGAUUAUCAAUGGGUAUCAUUGAGAAUCGUGCAAUACAAAUAGAUUCAAAAUCAUCGUCGAUGGAUGACAUGUGUUGUUCAGUAAUAAUACGGCUAUUUAUACACUAGCUUUAAUGCAAAACAAUGCACCGAAUCUCAUCUCAUAUUACAUUGAAUUUUGUUAAAUGCAACCUGAACUCA
rnacentral:misc_RNA from 1 species